rnacentral:rRNA from 1 species
CCUACGGGAGGCUGCAGUGAGGAAUAGUGGUCAAUGGACGCAAGUCUGAACCAGCCAUGCCGCGUGCAGGAAGACGGCUCUAUGAGUUGUAAACUGCUUUUGUACGAGGGUAAACGCAGAUACGCGUAUCUGGCUGAAAGUAUCGUACGAAUAAGGAUCGGCUAACUCCGUGCCAGCAGCCGCGGUAAUACGGAGGAUUCAAGCGUUAUCCGGAUUUAUUGGGUUUAACGGGUGCGUAGGCGGUCGGAUAAGUUAGAGGUGAAAUCCCGAGGCUCACCUUCGGAAUUGCCUCUGAUACUGGUCGGCUAGUGUGUAGUUGCUGUCGGCUGACUG